rnacentral:misc_RNA from 1 species
UGAGUGGUGUUUGGUUUGUUACGGGUGGUUGGCUCUUUGCUUGCGCAACAACUUCUACCUGGCAUACCUCUUCAGUCUUGUGUCAAUGCUUGUAUUGCAUUGAAUGCACGGUGGGUUUCUUGUGUUGCAUGCCUAAUUUAAUGGUAUUGCUUGAUGUAUUGGUUUUCCUUUCGUUUUGCAUUGCCUAUGCGAUGUGAGAUGAACCUUGAAGCAGCCUUUGUGAUCCACUGAUUUGAUGUAUAUGCAUUGAUUUUGUGGCCCAUUGAGUGUUGCUCGGUCUCAUGGAUAUGGAACCUGGUGUGGGCAUGGAAUCUUAAUGGUUCCUUGUUUGCCCAAGUUUAGCUUUUCUAAAACGAUUGUCUAUCAUGUGUUAACAUGC